UGAAAAGCAGAGAAAGGGAAGAGUAGCUGCAGAGGAACUUACAGAGAGCCAUUGGCGGUGGAAAAUGGCAGGGAUGAUGCAGUGAACUGGCCCUGGAGCUUCCGGCUGAAUAUUCUCUUAAAUUAUCAGGCAGAAGAGAAACAGUAAGUCAGGACGGGUUCUCCCGUUACAGAGAAAGGCAUGGAAGUGCCGAUAAGUGCAUGUGAAUACAUGAAGCCAGAGUGGUACCGCGCAGGAUUUUAUAUCUUUCGUCUCUAUU
rnacentral:ncRNA from 1 species